rnacentral:lncRNA from 10 species
CCGGCCUCAGCCGGCGCACCUGGCGGAGGAGGAACCUCGCGACGCGCUCUCGGGCAUCGGUUUCUCCCAGCAAAGCUUGGAGGGUUUAGCUGCGCGGAGAGCUCAGCGAGCUCUUCUGUGUCUGUUUGGGGCGUGUGGGCUCCGGGAGCGUGAGGACCGGGAAGCUAGGAGGCUCCUUCCCUUCUGGCGGCUCCCUCACUGAGACCGGGCGGUUUGGUUGCGGGGGAAGUGGAGACGAGCCACCCUUGACCUUUGACUGCAAGAACUCACCUUGAGCAGGAUAGAGGCACGUGGACGGUGACCCUCGGGAUGCAAUAAAUGCUGAGACAGAUCAGGUGUGCAAGGCACAGAGCUAGAGGCCAGAGGCCUUUCUUCUCCAACCUUCAGUCACCUCUUUUUAAAGUGAAGCCAGCAUCCUCCUCGGGGUUUACUGUGAAAAUUAAGUGAGCUGACGCGUGCUGUGUUUUGAUGUUGCUUGGCUCCUACAAACAUUGAGUGGGCCAGACACUGUUCUGAAAAAUACGCAGUCGACUUUUGAACAGCACAGGCUUGAACUGCAUGCGGCCACUAAUACUCGGACUUCCUUCUGCCUCUGCCAUCCCUAAGACAGCAAGACCCACCCCUCCUGCUCCUCAGCCUACUCGAUGUGAUGAUGGUGAGUAUGAAGACCUUUACUUUAUGAUGAUCCACUUCCAUUUAAUGGAUAGUAAAUAUAUUUUCUCUUCCUAUGAUUUUCUUAAUACCAUUUUCUUUUCUCUAGCUUACUUUAUUGAAAGAAUACAGUAUCUAAUACAUAUGACAUGCAAAA